rnacentral:lncRNA from 1 species
UGUGAUCGAAGGAUUGAAUUGCACGGUAACUCACCACGAAAGGAUAAUUUUGGUAUUUCCAUCAAAUUCUAUGUCUUCUGAGUAGUCAUGACACGUUGCUAGACAUCAAUCUUGACUUGUGGACUUGUAAGAAUUAAAGGAGUUUAAUUCAGAAAUUAAUUGGAAGGUGUUCUGAUUAAUUGAUGCCUUGGGCUAACCUAAUUAGAUUAGGUCAUGAGUUUGAGUCCACUGCUAGCUAGAUAUGGAACCCAAUGGAUCACACACAAUAGGAAUUUGAUCUUGGUCUAAUCUAUUUGGAUUUAUUGUAAAUCCUAUGGGUUAAUUAAAUUGCUAGCACAUGAAUUAACCCAAGUUUCAAAUUUAGUUUGGUGCAAAGGUGUUUAUGCUAAACUCAAGCUUGAUGCCUUGACCUAAUAGGAUUAGGUUCAAUCUUUGGUUUUCUGGUUUGGUUAACCAAUCCACUUGAAAGUGUUUCAUCUAGAUUUAUCCAUCUCCACGCCAUUUGUCCACGCAAAUGAAAAAGGCACGUCACAUUUAUUUUAGGCGUUAAGAUGGAGGAGUCCUUAAAUACUCCUCUUAAUUUUCUUCUUAUUUUUCCAUACGUUACAUUAUUCCACACUCCAUCAGAUGGCUCUUGGGAAUAUAUGGGCACAGAAGAGAAGGAAGAGUUAUUCUCUGUGAAGGAACUCACACACCAAAAAUAAAUGAGACGCCACAUAUUUUGUGCGAUGAGAUUAGAAGAGUCCAUCUCAUUUAAAACUCUUAAUUACCUUCCUAUCUCUUCAUUAUUCCACGCUAAUUCAUAAAAGGUGGCGACAUCAGAUGGCUCCUUGGGUGGUGUGCGCAGAGGAGAGUCCUGCAGAUUAAAAACCCAAUUAACUCCCUUAAUAGGAAUUAAAUCACCAAUGAAAUCAAUGGGACGCCAAUUGUUGGCCUCCCUUAGAGGCACCUUUUCUUUCUUAUUUAAAGAGGGCAUCUCCUAUAUGAUAUGGAUAGAUUUUUCCCUGGUGGUUAGGCGUGGAAAUGAAGAGAGAAAAGAUAGAAAAAAUUUAGAGAAAAGAUAAAGAAAAAAGAGAGAAAAAUAGAAAGAAAGGCAAGAGAA